rnacentral:rRNA from 1 species
GACGAACGCUGGCGGCGUGCUUAACACAUGCAAGUCGAACGGAAAGGCCCUGCUUUUGUUGGGUGCUCGAGUGGCGAACGGGUGAGUAACACGUGAGUAACCUGCCCUUGACUUUGGGAUAACUUCAGGAAACUGGGGCUAAUACCGGAUAGGAUCUCCUGCUGCAUGUUGUGGGAUGGAAAGUUUCGGCGGUUGGGGAUGUACUCGCUGCUUAUCAGCUUGUUGGUGGGGUAGUGGCUUACCAAGGCUUUGACGGGUAGCCGGCCUGAGAGGGUGACCGGCCACAUUGGGACUGAGAUACGGACCAGACUCCUACGGGAGGCAGCAGUGGGGAAUAUUGCACAAUGGGCGGAAGCCUGAUGCAGCAACGCCGCGUGCGGGAUGACGGCCUUCGGGUUGUAAACAGCUUUCGCCUGUGCCGAAGCGUGAGUGACGGUAAUGGGUAAAGAAGCACCGGCUAACUACGUG